AUUGAACGCUGGCGGCAUGCCUUACACAUGCAAGUCGAACGGCAGCACGGGAGCAAUCCUGGUGGCGAGUGGCGAACGGGUGAGUAAUACAUCGGAACGUGCCCAGUCGUGGGGGAUAACGUAGCGAAAGCUACGCUAAUACCGCAUACGAUCUGUGGAUGAAAGCGGGGGACCGUAAGGCCUCGCGCGAUUGGAGCGGCCGAUGUCAGAUUAGGUAGUUGGUGGGGGUAAAGGCCCACCAAGCCGACGAUCUGUAGCUGGUCUGAGAGGACGACCAGCCACACUGGGACUGAGACACGGCCCAGACUCCUACGGAGGCAGCAGUGGGGAAUUUUGGACAAUGGGCGCAAGCCUGAUCCAGCAAUGCCGCGUGCAGGAUGAAGGCC
rnacentral:rRNA from 1 species